UACGAAGGGGGCUAGCGUUGUUCGGAAUCACUGGGCGUAAAGCGCACGUAGGCGGAUCUUUAAGUCAGAGGUGAAAUCCCAAGGCUCAACCUUGGAACUGCCUUUGAUACUGGGGAUCUUGAGUCCGGGAGAGGUGAGUGGAACUGCGAGUGUAGAGGUGAAAUUCGUAGAUAUUCGCAAGAACACCAGUGGCGAAGGCGGCUCACUGGCCCGGUACUGACGCUGAGGUGCGAAAGCGUGGGGAGCAGACAGG
rnacentral:rRNA from 1 species